UACGUAGGGCGCAAGCGUUAUCCGGAAUUAUUGGGCGUAAAGAGCUCGUAGGCGGUUUGUCGCGUCUGCCGUGAAAAUCCGGGGCUCAACCCCGGACUUGCAGUGGGUACGGGCAGACUAGAGUGUGGUAGGGGAGACUGGAAUUCCUGGUGUAGCGGUGAAAUGCGCAGAUAUCAGGAGGAACACCGAUGGCGAAGGCAGGUCUCUGGGCCACUACUGACGUGAGAAGCGAAAGCAUGGGGAGCGAACAGG
rnacentral:rRNA from 1 species